rnacentral:misc_RNA from 1 species
GUAGGUGAACCUGCGGAAGGAUCAUUAUCGUGGGGCUCCGGCCCCGUCGAGAUAGAACCCUUGCCUUUUGAGUACCGUCCCGUUUCCUCGGCAGGCCCGCCUGCCGGGGACCCCAAACCAAACCCUUUUCCACCUGUAUCAGUCUGAAUAACAAACAAAAAUUUAAAACUUUCAACAACGGAUCUCUUGGUUCUG